AUUGAACGCUGGCGGCAGGCCUAGCACAUGCAAGUCGAGCGGAUGAAGGGAGCUUGCUCCUGGAUUCAGCGGCGGACGGGUGAGUAAUGCCUAGGAAUCUGCCUGGUAGUGGGGGAUAACGUCCGGAAACGGGCGCUAAUACCGCAUACGUCCUGAGGGAGAAAGUGGGGGAUCUUCGGACCUCACGCUAUCAGAUGAGCCUAGGUCGGAUUAGCUAGUUGGUGGGGUAAAGGCCUACCAAGGCGACGAUCCGUAACUGGUCUGAGAGGAUGAUCAGUCACACUGGAACUGAGACACGGUCCAGACUCCUACGGGAGGCAGCAGUAGGGAAUAUUGGACAAUGGGCGAAAGCCUGAUCCAGCCAUGCCGCGUGUGUGAAGAAGGUCUUCGGAUUGUAAAGCACUUUAAGUUGGGAGGAAGGGCAGUAAGUUAAUACCUUGCUGUUUUGACGUUACCAACAGAAUAAGCACCGGCUAACUUCGU
rnacentral:rRNA from 1 species